GGGAAGCAGUCAUGAAUGAAUCUGGCUUUACGUUUGGUGACUAGGAAAAUGACACCAUCAACAGGCAAGAUGGUACUUUUCUAGGAAAGAGGGAUGCUGCCGAUAGUGUAGGAUACAUUGAGUCUGAGGUGAAAGCUGGAGAUGCAGUUUAAAUGUUUCACAGAGUGACCCAAGUGAAAGCAACUCCAUGGAAUCUGAUGAGGCAUUGAGUGACUAGAAGCUAAGAUUUUAGGCUGGACAACUGGCACUACUGGCUCCUUCUUCUUGUAGGAACUAUGGUAUUCCUGUGGCCUACACCAAAAGCAUCACCCAAAGGAAAGCUUCUUUACUUGAUAAAAUGGGUCUGAUUCCCUCCUUCUAAGUUCUCCACUGUCUCUGAAGUGACACAUGGUCUUUCAUACAAAUAAGAGGGAAACUAUGCAGAGCUUUC